rnacentral:rRNA from 2 species
UGGUGGACUGGGAUAACUCCGGGAAACCGGAGCUAAUACCGGAAAAAAUCUUGAACCGCAUGGUUCAAGUUGGAAAGACGGUUUCGGCUGUCACUUACAGAUGGGCCCGCGGCGCAUUAGCUAGUUGGUGAGGUAAUGGCUCACCAAGGCAACGAUGCGUAGCCGACCUGAGAGGGUGAUCGGCCACACUGGGACUGAGACACGGCCCAGACUCCUACGGGAGGCAGCAGUAGGGAAUCUUCCGCAAUGGACGAAAGUCUGACGGAGCAACGCCGCGUGAGUGAUGAAGGUUUUCGGAUCGUAAAACUCUGUUGUUAGGGAAGAACAAGUGCGAGAGUAACUGCUCGCACCUUGACGGUACCUAACCAUAAAGCCACGGCUAACUACGUGCCAGCAGCCGCGGUAAUACGUAGGUGGCAAGCGUUGUCCGGAAUUAUUGGGCGUAAAGCGCGCGCAGGCGGUUUCUUAAGUCUGAUGUGAAAGCCCCCGGCUCAACCGGGGAGGGUCAUUGGAAACUGGGAAACUUGAGUGCAGAAGAGGAGAGUGGAAUUCCACGUGUAGCGGUGAAAUGCGUAGAGAUGUGGGAGGAACACCAGUGGC